rnacentral:rRNA from 1 species
UACGUAUGUCCCGAGCGUUAUCCGGAUUUAUUGGGCGUAAAGCGAGCGCAGACGGUUAAGUAAGUCUGAUGUGAAAGCCCGGAGCUCAACUCCGGAAAGGCAUUGGAAACUGGUUAACUUGAGUGCAGUAGAGGUAAGUGGAACUCCAUGUGUAGCGGUGGAAUGCGUAGAUAUAUGGAAGAACACCAGCGGCGAAGGCGGCUUACUGGACUGUAACUGACGUUGAGGCUCGAAAGUGUGGGUAGCAAACAGG